rnacentral:lncRNA from 1 species
CUCAUUCAUGGUACACGCAGAACGUUUACUCGCUCUUCAUUCUGGCAGUGCUGCGGCAAAGGGAAUGGCAGCUGCUUCCUGGAACAAAGACACAGCAGUGCUUAGUUUUGACGAGACAAACAAGUGCAAAGUGAAACAAGCAAGAAGAAGUUGGAAAGAACGAGAAAGAAACAGCAAGAAGAAAACGGAACAACGAAACACGAGAUACUUGGAACGCAGAGAAACGAACAAAGGAAAGAAAGAAAAAAGGCACAUACCACAUGAGUGAGUUGAGGACAAGCUGUUCCUCUUGGAGCAUAGAAGACAUAUGGAAAACAUAUGGAAGUUAAAAAUGCAUGUACUAUGGACAGAUAGAUCUAUGUCAAUGGAUAUGAUAAUGAAAACACGAAUGUGGCAUCCCCAGAAAUGCAAGAAAAUAGAAACUAGAAAACACUUACUGGAUGGCGUAGCGGAUUACUUCGAUUAUGCUACCCCGCCAAUCUUCUGCCACAAUAAAAGUCCGAUCAAUCUCAUUGCUGCCCCUGCUUACAUUCCAUCGCGAUCGCCUUGCCCUCGCUUGCCGAAGAAGCCCCGUGACUUUGCC